AUUCUUAUCAACAGGUGGAUCGCUCUCAAUGGGAUGAGCUGUUAGCGUAUAAUGGAAAAGCUGUACAAUAGGUUUUUAGGGAUCAACAAGGCUUGCAUUUUGCAUUGGCGGUCCAUAUGGUCAUGGUCCUCGAGUUCGUGUGCGUGCCGACGUAACUAUUAGAUUAGAUGGGGCGAAAGUAGUUGAGUUCUCAAUUGUUUGUUGGUAAAGAGAAGUUAAUGAAUUUAACUAAAUGAAGGACAUGAUGAUGAGUUUUGAGAGGAUGAUUCUUCAACAGUCGCAGUUUACCACACAGGACUUACAACCAGUUACUGACGAUCAUGAUGUUGGCUUAUAGUUGUAUUUAUCAUAUAUUUAUUAUUUUGUGUUGAACAUGUAUACUUAAAUAUUUCUUUUUGUAUGAAUUGAUGAGUUUA